rnacentral:tRNA from 1 species
GGAGUGGUGGUUUAGUGGAAAAACAGCGGGAUGCAAACCCGGCAGACACAGGUUCGAAUCCUGUCCACUCAC